rnacentral:rRNA from 1 species
ACGGAAGGCAGCAGUGAGGAAUAUUGGUCAAUGGACGGAAGUCUGAACCAGCCAAGUCGCGUGAAGGAAGACGGUUCUAUGGAUUGUAAACUUCUUUUGUCCGAGGGUAAAGUGAGAGAUGCGUCUCUUAUUGCAAGUAUCGGACGAAUAAGCAUCGGCUAACUCCGUGCCAGCAGCCGCGGUAAUACGGAGGAUGCGAGCGUUAUCCGGAUUUAUUGGGUUUAAAGGGUGCGUAGGCGGAUGAUUAAGUCUGUGGUGAAAGCGUGCGGCUCAACCGUACCGAGCCAUGGAAACUGGUUGUCUUGAGUGUAAACGAGGUAGGCGGAAUGUGACAUGUAGCGGUGAGAUGCUUAGAUAUGUCACAGAACUCCGAUUGCGAAGGCAGCUUACCAGCAUACAACUGACGCUGAGGCACGAAAGCGUGGGUAUCAAACAGGAUUAGAUACCCUGGUA